UACGUAGGGGGCGAGCGUUGUCCGGAGUUACUGGGCGUAAAGCGCACGCAGGCGGUCAGGCAGGUGGGCGGUGACAGCUCCCGGCUCAACUGGGAGAGGGCCGACCAAACGGCGUGGCUAGAGGACGCGAGAGGGACCUGGAACUCCGGGUGGAGUGGUGAAAUGCGUAGAGAUCCGGAAGAACACCAAAGGCGAAGGCAAGGUCCUGGCGCGGAACUGACGCUGAGGUGCGAAAGCUAGGGGAG
rnacentral:rRNA from 1 species